rnacentral:tRNA from 3 species
GGGUCGGUACCGAAGUGGUCAAACGGGGCAGACUGUAAAUCUGCUGGCUCCGCCUUCGUAGGUUCGAAUCCUACCCGGCCCACCA